rnacentral:rRNA from 1 species
GUGAGGAAUAUUGCGCAAUGGAGGCAACUCUGACGCAGCCAUGCCGCGUGCAGGAAGAAGGCGCUACGCGUUGUAAACUGCUUUUAACCGGGAAGAAACCCCAGGACGUGUCCUGGGUUGACGGUACCGGAGGAAUAAGCACCGGCUAACUUCGUGCCAGCAGCCGCGGUAAUACGAAGGGUGCAAGCGUUAUCCGGAUUCAUUGGGUUUAAAGGGUGCGUAGGCGGAGCGUUAAGUCAGUGGUGAAAUCCUGCAGAUUAACUGUAGACUUGCCAUUGAUACUGGCGGUCUGGAGUGCGCGUGAAGGGGGCGGAAUGUGCCGUGUAGCGGUGAAAUGCUUAGAUAUGGCACAGAACACCAAUUGCGAAGGCAGCUCACUAAGGCGAUACUGACGCUGAGGCACGAAAGCGUGGGGAUCGAACAGGAUUAGAUACCCUGGUAGUCC